AGAUACCCUGUUACUUAUAGUUAAAAUUUUUUGGAAUAGUAAUAAUAAUGAAAUUUAACGGAUUUGGCGGCAAGAUAGCUAUUUAGAGGAACCUGCCCUGUAAACGAUAAGCCACGAGAUACUCUACUUUUGUUUGUAAUCAGUUUGUAUACCGCUGUUGUCAGUCAGUUUUCUAAGAAAACUUUCUAUCAUGAUAAAAUCAAGUACUUCAAGUAAAGGUGCAGCUUAUAUAGAAGAUAGAGGUGGGUUACAUUUAAAAUGAUUAAAACAGAUAAAGAUACUGAAAAUUCUUUUGAAGGUGGAUUUAAAUGUAAAGUUUAUGUAAACU
rnacentral:rRNA from 1 species